GAGCGGCGGACGGGUGAGUAAUGUCUGGGAAACUGCCUGAUGGAGGGGGAUAACUACUGGAAACGGUAGCUAAUACCGCAUAACGUCGCAAGACCAAAGUGGGGGACCUUCGGGCCUCAUGCCAUCAGAUGUGCCCAGAUGGGAUUAGCUGGUAGGUGGGGUAACGGCUCACCUAGGCGACGAUCCCUAGCUGGUCUGAGAGGAUGACCAGCCACACUGGAACUGAGACACGGUCCAGACUCCUACGGGAGGCAGCAGUGGGGAAUAUUGCACAAUGGGCGCAAGCCUGAUGCAGCCAUGCCGCGUGUGUGAAGAAGGCCUUCGGGUUGUAAAGCACUUUCAGCGGGGAGGAAGGCGGUGAGGUUAAUAACCUCGGCGAUUGACGUUACCCGCAGAAGAAGCACCGGCUAACUCCGUGCCAGCAGCCGCGGUAAUACGGAGGGUGCAAGCGUUAAUCGGAAUUACUGGGCGUAAAGCGCACGCAGGCGGUCUGUCAAGUCGGAUGUGAAAUCCCCGGGCUCAACCUGGGAACUGCAUUCGAAACUGGCAGGCUAGAGUCUUGUAGAGGGGGGUAGAAUUCCAGGUGUAGCGGUGAAAUGCGUAGAGAUCUGGAGGAAUACCGGUGGCGAAGGCGGCCCCCUGGACAAAGACUGACGCUCAGGUGCGAAAGCGUGGGGAGCAAACAGGAUUAGAU
rnacentral:rRNA from 1 species